AUAAGAUAUCAAAUGCGAAUGUGAUUCAGUCAUUCGGUGCCGUACGGUAGUUGAUUAAUUUUAAAAUCACGUUCGGGAUGUCAAGUAACCGUGCGGCGGCGGUAAAAAUGUCCCAAAUAUCGUGAUGAAUAUUAAUCCUGUCAGAUUUGCGAUGACGGUGAAAUGAUUAUCAACGGACCGUUUAGCGUGUUGAAAAAAAAUCAUCUGAAAAUAGGGAAAUCUUCGUUGUUAAUCCAGUUUCCAGUUAAAUUUCCGGUAACCGUAUUGAAUCGGCGGCAACGGCGUGUGUCAUUCAUGUCAUCAUCGCCACCGUCGGCCCCCCGUGGUCAUCGAGCUAUAAAUAUAACAUCAAGAGGCAUUUAAAUUUGGACGCGUCAAGUUUCGGUCUGCCCGUUGCCGGUGAAAACAGGCCGCAGCAACAGGAGCGGAGCGGCUGCCGGAGUUCUAUUUUCAUACCGCGCGCAAUAAAUCUUCUCGUAGCAACCGAUUUGACGUGUCACCGUUAACUCGUUGCAUUGAUAUUAACACUGCUGGUACGGGUUGCCGGUAAACAAUACCGCCUUCAAGAUGGGGAUUCUCUUUUCCAGGUUUCGAAAAAAGAAGGCCACCUAUGAGGUCCUGGAGGAUCUUGAAACGAAAAUUCAGGAAAUUGAAGAAUACAGACAAAAUACCGAGCAGACGCACAAGAAGAUUGUCGGCACGCUGAUUAUCUACAGUGUGGCUCUUUACAUUAUUGCGGCACUCGUGUUCUAUUUCUACUUCUUCCCAGCCGCUCUCUAUGAUCAAAUAUUCUAUAUGAUUCCACUACUCAUCUUUCCAAUAUUGAUAUUAUUUAUAAAAAAUUUAGUAUCCUGGUACUACAAACGAAAAAUAUCUCGAAACCAGACCAAACUCACGAGUAUGCAGCAGGAGAAAAAGAAAAUUUUGGACGAAGUUGUCGAAACUGAAACAUAUAAAAAAGCUAAGGAGAUUCUUAUGAAGUUUGCGCCUGAUCAGCUGAGGAUGACACCUCUCUCGCCGCAGCCGACGCAAGCAAAAGCUUUGCUCCGCAGUGAAAAGCCUCAUAGACCUAGCACACCUCAGGCAGUAACACCGUCGAUGCCAAGUGGGGGGCGAACUGAACUAAGAAGACGACCGUUGGUUGUCGCCAAUUUAGGACCAAACAAACAAAUUGGUAGGCUGGUUAAUCCUUCUCCAGUUCCUGUUGGCAUGAUGCCCCCGCAUACUCCGCAAUCAGUUAAUAUAUAUCCUGCUGGAACGGCUCCUAAGCAGUUUAACACCCCUGCCGCUACGCCUAGAGCGCCUUUACCACGUCCAAUACUUCCUCAACAGAGAAGUUACCUAGAUCGUUUGGUAGAGUACUUGGUUGGCGAUGGACCGUCGAAUCGCUACGCGUUGAUAUGCAGGCAGUGCGAAUCGCACAAUGGAAUGGCACUCAAAGAGGAAUUUGAGUAUUUCGGAUUCAGGUGUUGUUACUGCAACUUUUGGAAUCCUGCUAGAAAACAAAAACCCUCCGCACCAAGAUUGGAGUACGAUAAUACCCCAGUGCCUCCAGCCAUGCCAAACCUCGACGUUACCCAAACGCCGUCACCAAAAAUCACAGAACGAAUAUCAAACGUCUCAGACACUGUGUAUAAGUGUCCCGAGACCCAGCAACUGAAAUCCCAUCGUCAAUCAAUCCUUGAAAAUUGCGAGUUACCAAAUCCAACUAAACAUCGACUAUUCCUCUAUAAUAAACUGCAUUCUGACUCAUCAAGUAUUUUUAGCAGCAACGGUACGAAGCAUUGUCCGAGGCCUGCGUCACUUGCAAACUCGGAAAACAAGACUGAACAAAGAGGAAAAUGCAUUUAUCAAGUUUUAAAAGAUAAUAUCUUCAAUUCUGAUAAUAAUUAUCCUCCUGACAAAUCUUCAGAUGCUGACAAACACUUUCAUCAAGUUAAUGACCAAAAAAAUUAUACCCAGGAUAUCGAUUCUCAAAAAGUUUCUCACCGCAAAAUCUUAUCAUUUAAAAAUUCCAAUCCCCAUAGAUUAAAUGGUUACAUGUAUCCUUCAGCUUUGGUUGAAAUAUCCAAAACAUUGCCUGACAUUGCUCUCAGUAAACUUUUAACAGCUUCCGAAGACAGGAUUUUGCAUAUGAGCUCAACUGACAGACGGUUUAGUGAAAAGGUCGACAAUUUACAUGUUCAAACUGAAAUUUUGAGAAAAAUUAAUGAACAAAAAAGGAAAUUGUAUACAUAGAACCAGAUGCUGUGAGCAGUUACGAUAAAACGAUUCUUUUUCAUUUUCUUAAUCACUAAUAUAACGUGUAUAUGCAGUAAAUUAUAACAACGAUCAACAUUAUCUAAUCUGUACUUGCGCAUUUUUUAAAAACAUUGAUUCAAUAAAAUUUACGUGCGUCUUCAAUUCGUUGAAGUUUGGCUGAUCAGACGGGUUCAUUAUGCCCGUAAAUACUUGAAGUAAUUGUAGAAAAAAUCAGUAUAAAUACGGACCGAUAUUUAGGUGCGUUUAAGCUGACUCAUCCUAUACGAUGAACCUUGGAAGUGGUAUCAGUUACAAUCUGUAUUGUUGUUUCAAUGAUAUCAAUUACUAUAGAGCUCGUAUUGUUUUCACGUUUAUAAAGAGACUCUGAUAUAGAAGUUGUUGAGAAGCCUGAAAGUAUGGAAGACAGUACGGAGGAAAAGUCUGCCGACGAAAAAGAGGAAG